UACGUAGGUGGCAAGCGUUGUCCGGAUUUACUGGGCGUAGAGAGCGCGCAGGCGGUCGUGCAAGUCGCGUGUGAAAGCCCCCGGCUCAACUGGGGAGGGUCACGCGAUACUGCUCGACUUGAAGGCAGGAGAGGGAAGUGGAAUUCCCGGUGUAGUGGUGAAAUGCGUAGAUAUCGGGAGGAACACCAGUGGCGAAGGCGACUUCCUGGCCUGUUCUUGACGCUGAGGCGCGAAAGCUAGGGUAGCAAACGGG
rnacentral:rRNA from 1 species